rnacentral:rRNA from 1 species
GAUGAACGCUGACAGAAUGCUUAACACAUGCAAGUCUUUGGCGAAGCUGUGCUUGCACAGCCUAGCCAAGGCGGACGGGUGAGUAACGCGUAAGGAACUUGCCCUGCAGUCAGGGAUAACAGACGGAAACGACUGAUAAGACCUGGUAAAGUCAGGCGGACUCAUGUCCAGCCUGAUGAAAGGAGAUGCUGCAGGAGAGCCUUGCGUCCUAUUAGCUUGUUGGUGGGGUAACGGCCCACCAAGGCGAUGAUAGGUAGCCGGCCUGAGAGGGUGGACGGCCAACAGGGGAAUGGGAUACGGCCCUUAAUCCCUAGGGAGGGAGGAGGGGGGAAUAAUGGAACAAUGGGGCAACCCUGAUCCAGCAAUUCUGUGUGCACGAUGAAGGUUUUCGGAGUGUAAAGUGCUUUCAGCAGGGAAGAAAAAAAUGACGGUACCUGCAGAAGAAGCGACGGCUAAAUACGUG